GACAGGAGGUGCAAACGUUGUUCGGAAUUACUGGGCGUAAAGCGCGUGUAGGCGGCUAAGUAAGUCGGGCGUGAAAUCCCACGGCUCAACCGUGGAAGUGCACUCGAAACUGCAUAGCUAGAGUCCUGGAGAGGAAGGUGGAAUGCUUGGUGUAGAGGUGAAAUUCGUAGAUAUCAAGCGGAACACCGGUGGCGAAGGCGGCCUUCUGGACAGUGACUGACGCUGAGACGCGAAAGCGUGGGGAGCAAACAGGG
rnacentral:rRNA from 1 species